CUUAGGUGAAAAAUAUUUUGAUUCUACAAUAUUCAGUAAUGUAGAACUUAAAAAAAAAACAACUACCUAUGCUCCGUAUCAAGCUGAUGUACCUUGACUAGAGCAAGACUAACAAGUCUUUUAAAAUUAUUUUGUUACUUUCCUGCAAUAAUGUAGGUUCAUCAUCUGCUUCUGAAGGAGGAUACCCAAUUAUCUUUCGAUACCCAAUUAUCUUUCAAUACUCAGUUAAUUUCCACAGG